UCCCGGCAGGCUCCUCUUGCCGGGGCUUUGUCUCCUCAGUUAAAACACUUUGUUCUUGAAUGGCAUCAAUAGGAUCUAUGGAGGAUCUUGGCGGGCACCCGGCAAGCCUUGCCGCGGGGCGCUGCGACUGUCCGUGCACAAGUUCGGGAUACUAAGGUACCCCUACUUUAGUACACCGACACCUUAGAAGGGGCAAAACACCGGGGCUUUAUCUCCCCUUGUCUAGCACCGUCUGGUGAACAAGAUGGAGGGUAGACAAGGGUGCCUCAAAUGGCGGUUUCUCUUCUCCGGUUUGGACCAGUGCAGAGGAGCGAGCAAAGUAGAUGGUGCUGCCGGCCUCCUCCCCUCUCCCCCUCCCCUUGCCAUGAGCAGAGAAGACGGUGCAGUCGGCCUCCUCUCUCUCCCUCCCCUUGCUCUCAGUCGCUUUCAGCACCCUCCUCGCUGUUGGCUGCAUACCUAGAUAAUUGAUGAAAAAACUUUGAUAAAGAAAUAUUGGUGUCGUCUCAUCGUCUUCAUCGACAUGAGCAUCUCUAUCGGACCACGCAUCCAUGCCUCCCCAUCUACCUUGCUGGAGUAGCCACCGCCUGGUUGAGGUAUCACACUGCCACCGCUGCUGCUGCCUGGGACCCUCCUCUCACUCCUGCCGAGGUCGCAUGUCCGUCAAGGCAUCAAGACAUGUCGGUUUCUUUUCUUUUCCCCUAUUUCUUUUCUUCCACUUGUUUCUUCUUCCUAGACCUCCCUGUCCGCUGAAAUUGCAAGCUGAGGUGAGCUCCUCGAACGCGGAAGUUGUAGUUCUGGAGGAACUCGAAGAUGUCAUUUUUCAGUUUUGAUGGGAAUCGCUACAACAACAAUUAGAAGAAAAUGCAUUGCAGGUUCAGAACCAAUUUCUAGGGAUUAUGGCAAGGAGCAGUGGCCGUUUGGGUUUUGGGGGAACGACAUGCACAGGUUAACUCCGAAAUUCAGAAUUUUAGUCUUCGUAUUGACAUCCGAGACAAAGAGAAGUGCUGCAGAGACGCGUUUUAUUUCAAAGUUAUGAUACUUAUAAUGUAAACCUUGCUUUGUCAACCGAAUAUGUGUAUGCAUGUAUAGGCAAUAAAGGCGAAGAACAGAGUCUUUA